UACGAAGGGGGCUAGCGUUGUUCGGAAUUACUGGGCGUAAAGCGCACGUAGGCGGAUGUCUAAGUCGGAGGUGAAAGCCUUGGGCUCAACCCAAGAAUUGCCUUCGAUACUGGAUGUCUUGAGACCGGGAGAGGUGAGUGGAAUUCCGAGUGUAGAGGUGAAAUUCGUAGAUAUUCGGAAGAACACCAGUGGCGAAGGCGGCUCACUGGCCCGGUUCUGACGCUGAGGUGCGAAAGCGUGGGGAGCAAACAGG
rnacentral:rRNA from 1 species